AUUGAACGCUGGCGGCAGGCUUAACACAUGCAAGUCGAGCGAGCGGCGGACGGGUGAGUAAUAUCUGGGAAACUGCCUGAUGGAGGGGGAUAACUACUGGAAACGGUAGCUAAUAGCGCAUACCAUCAGAUGUGCCAAGAUGGGAUGAGAUCGUAGGUGGGGUAAUGGCUCACCUAGGCGACGAUCCCUAGCGUGUCUGAGAGGAUGACCAGCCACACUGGAACUGAGACACGGUCCAGACUCCUACGGGAGGCAGCAGUGGGGAAUAUUGCACAAUGGGCGCAAGCCUGAUGCAGCCAUGCCGCGUGUGUUAAGAAGGCCUUCGGGUUGUAAAGCACUUUCAGCUAGGAGGCGUUACUCGCAGAAGAAGCACCGGCUAACUCCGUGCCAGCAGCCGCGGUAAUAC
rnacentral:rRNA from 1 species